rnacentral:lncRNA from 1 species
CAUCAUCAGCCCUCUUCCUCUUCCAGCCAAGAGAGAGGCACUUCCAGUGGAUUUGAAUCCUGGUUGGAGUGGUUAGAGAGGCUGAAAACAGCAGAACCGGUCCCCAGCAACCGAGGUCCCCUCCAAGAAGGUCAGUCCUGCCUGGGGGCCACUGCCUGGGGGCUUCCAGACUCCCAGACGCCUUUCCAGGCUAAUUCUCCAGCUUUGCCAAGUCUGUCUUCCUCAUAUCCUUUGGAGUAAGUCAUCAGAGAAGGUUUCUGUUACUCUAAUUUAGAUUCUGAUAAUAUUCAGACUUUACCUCCAUUUUCAGGGUUGAGGUUUUCAUUCUCAGAUCACAAACCCAAAUAAUAAAAAAUAAUAUAAAUAUCCUCUAGUCUAUAUUGAUAUAAACAAUGAGUAAAUAAAUGAAGUAGAAGAGACAACUCUUUCUUACAGAAGAAUUCCAACUAAUAAAUGUAGAAGAAGUGAGGGAUAUAGACAUUCCCUGUAAGAACACCACAGCAAUAGUUGCUGCAGGGAGCAACUUCUCCCUUCCUCUGCAUUUUGUUCUAUUCAGGCUCUCAAUGGAUUGGAUGAUACCAACUCACACUGAGUAGGGCAGUCUACUAAACCCACUUAUUCAAAUGCUGAUCUCAUCCGGAAACAUCCUCACAGACACCCAGAAAUAAUAUUUAAUCGUGGCACCAGGGGCACCUGGGUGGCUCAGUCGGUUAAGCGUCUGACUUUGGCUCAGGUCAUGAUCUCGUGGUCCGUGAGUUCAAGCCCCACGUCGGUCUCUGUGUUGACAGCUCAGAGCCUGGAGCCUGCUUCAGAUUAUGUGUCUCCCUCUCUCUGUCCCUCCCCUGCUCAUGCUCUCUCUGUCAAAAGUAAAGAUUAGAAAAAAAAUUUUUUUAAUUUAAGAAAUUAAAAAACAAACAACAAAAAAAUCAUGGCACCAUAUGGCCCCAUCAAGUUAACAUAUAACACUAACCAUCAUAUAGUCUCCAUAGUUUUGCCUGUUCCAGAAUGUCGUUAGCUGAAUCAUACACUAUGUAGCCUUUUCACAUUGGCUUCUUUUACAUAGUAAUAUGCAUUUAAAGUUUCCUCCGUGUCUUGUCAUAAUUCUGAAUAAUAUUUAUUGCUUUUUUUUUUAGCACUGAAAAAUACUCCAAUAUCUGGACAUACUACAGUUUAACCGUUCACCACUCCCUUGUAAUCUUGGUUGCUUCCAAGGAAUCUUGGUUGCUUCCAAGCUUUCUCAAUUGUGAAGAAAACAGCAGUAAAUAUCCAUGUGCAGGUUUUUGUGUGGACAUAAGUUUUCAACUCCUUUGGGUAAAUACCCAGGAGAACAACUGCAGGAUUGUUUGGUAAGAGUAUGUUUAGUUUUGUGAGAAAACUCCCAAACUGUCUUCCAAAGUGGCUGUACCAUUUUGCAUUCCUACCAGCUAACAAUAAAAG